CCGGCCCCGGCCGUGGAGCUGCAGCCCGCCCGCAGCCCGCCCGUCUGAGCCGCGCCGCCAGGAUUCAGAGAAGAUGAGACAUGACAUUACUGCCAUUCAGUAGGGGAAAAACAAUGAUGCGGAUUACGCAAAGAAGAUUCCCUAUACUAGAUUAGGAUUCUUCCAUUAUGGAAUCUGAAAGAGGCAUACCACGCCACCUCUGCUACACUUUUCCAUAUUGGACUGGAGAACUUUCUUUAUAAUUACCAAUAACCACGUGAAACACAUCCCUCUCUCACCAGUUUGCAAAAUCGCAUGUAACUCGUUUGAAAACAAAGUGGGUUACGCUUCUUGUUUACGCAAUGUUUUUAAUAGAAAAGGAAUGGCAGAACUUAAUGUAGAAACACCUUUUUUAAAUACCUAAAAUAUUUGGGUGCCAAGUUGUUAUAGUGUGUAACUAAAGUACAUAAAUGAAAUUACUGUGAACUUUACUAUGGCAGUGCAAUACAUUUAGAAGGGUGGUUUUAAGGUCCCUUUGAAAUAACUGAUGCAAAAGUAUAAAGAUAAAAUAUUUGUGUACUAUUAUAAAUACACAAUUUGUGAUUUUUGUUAUUUGGUAACGUGUAAUCAUUGAUCUCUAAAUAAGCUCCUUUUCAAGAUCUUUCAAACUUUGUAUUUUAAACCUUGUUUGAAUAUGGACAAAACUAAUGGAAAGGUUAGUGUCCUAACCAUAUUUCUUUUUACCUGAGAUAAUAGGAACAAUUUAUCAUGAAGUAACAGUAUGAAAUGGAGAGGAAUUCUCAUCAUGUAAUAUAUUCCAGGAAACAUUGUCCCGAUGAUGUAUUAUUCCAGAAACUGGAAACUAAAUCUAACUCGGAGAAAUGUGUCAGGUAAUACUUUACCAGCUCAUAAGGAGGUAAAAACUAAAUUGUAGCUAAGGGUAUCUGAAAACCCUACGGAUUGACGGCCCUGCCUAUUGUGAAGUCCCUAUUUGUAUUUUCCUUGUUGACUGCAAUUUCUGUAUAUCAUUGGCAAAUAAGGGUGUGUCUUUUACCUGCACUGUACUGCUUUAUCAUUAAUUUCUGGCUGCCACAUCUAAGUUGUGUAUUUGUAGAACGGAUCACAGCAAACCAUUCUUGGUCCAUCAGACCUCUAGGGCGACCCAAAAAUGUUUUCCUGUGAAGUAGCAGGAGGAA